rnacentral:misc_RNA from 1 species
UUUCCGUAGGUGAACCUGCGGAAGGAUCAUUAACUAAAUCGAGACGGGCCCCUCGGGGUCCGGCCCGUACAAACCCUCUGCGUACCCGUACCUUUGUUGCUUCCCGUCGGGGCCCUCGGCUCCCGGCGGGGAGGUCUACCAAAACUCCUGUCUUUGCAUACAGUCUGUAGAUGGCGGCUAGUCCGCGACAAUUAAAAGUUAAAACUUUCAACAACGGAUCUCUUGGUUCUC